rnacentral:rRNA from 1 species
GACGAACGCUGGCGGCGUGCUUAACACAUGCAAGUCGAACGGAAAGGCCCUGCUUUUGUGGGGUGCUCGAGUGGCGAACGGGUGAGUAACACGUGAGUAACCUGCCCUUGACUUUGGGAUAACUUCAGGAAACUGGGGCUAAUACCGGAUAGGAGCUCCUGCUGCAUGGUGGGGGUUGGAAAGUUUCGGCGGUUGGGGAUGGACUCGCGGCUUAUCAGCUUGUUGGUGGGGUAGUGGCUUACCAAGGCUUUGACGGGUAGCCGGCCUGAGAGGGUGACCGGCCACAGUGGGAAUGAGAUACGGCCCAGACUCCUACGGGAGGCAGCAGUGGGGAAUAUUGCACAAGGGGCGGAAGCCUGAUGCAGCAACGCCGCGUGCGGGAUGACGGCCUUCGGGUUGUAAACCGCUUUCGCCUGUGACGAAGCGUGAGUGACGGUAAUGGGUAAAGAAGCACCGGCUAGCUACGUG